CUUCGCGAGAGGCUUGGCAUAGAUGCAGG
rnacentral:piRNA from 1 species